GCCGGGCAUGGUGGUUCACGCCUGUAAUCCCAGCACUUUGGGAGGCCGAGGUGGGUGGAUCACCUGAGGUCAGGAGUUCAAGACCAGCCUGGCCAACAUGGUGAAAACCCAUCUCUA
ensembl:misc_RNA Metazoa_SRP Metazoan signal recognition particle RNA